rnacentral:lncRNA from 1 species
CCAUGUAUUUUCAUGCCCAAUUCACAUGCUUUCACAUGAUUUCUUCGACACAAACCUAGCUUCCGAGCUGCUUCCCGUCUCCUUAAUUUAUUGAAAAUACACUCUGGAUUAUUCUUUUUCUUAACUUCAACAAACAUUUUUAACGAAUUUUCUAAUGAACCAAAAAAAAAAAAAAAAAGGAAACACCUAAACGCACGAAAUGUCCCAAUAGAUAGUUAAACCCUUACUAUUUCAGAAAUAG